rnacentral:rRNA from 1 species
AGUGAACGCUGGCGGUAGGCCUAACACAUGCAAGUCGAACGGCAGCACAGUAAGAGCUUGCUCUUACGGGUGGCGAGUGGCGGACGGGUGCGGAAUACAUCGGAAUCUACUUUUUCGUGGGGGAUAACGUAGGGAAACUUACGCUAAUACCGCAUACGACCUACGGGUGAAAGCAGGGGAUCUUCGGACCUUGCGCGAUUGAAUGAGCCGAUGUCGGAUUAGCUAGUUGGCGGGGUAAAGGCCCACCAAGGCGGCGCUCCGUAGCUGGUCUGAGAGGAGGAUCAGCCACACGGGAACUGAGACACGGGCCAGACUCCUACGGGAGGCAGGAGGGGGGAAUAUGGGACAAGGGGCGCAAGCCUGAGCCAGCCAUACCGCGUGGGUGAAGAAGGCCUUCGGGUUGUAAAGCCCUUUUGUUGGGAAAGAAAAGCAGCAGGUUAAUACCCCGCUGUUCGGACGGUACCCAAAGAAUAAGCACCGGCUAACUUCGU